GGGUAGAUGAGUCUUGAGUCUAUGGUGUGGAGACACCGAAGUGAGAGUAUAGGUAUUCGUUGAGAAUGAGAGUACUGAGCGUGACCACCUCGAGCAGUCAUAAGGAAGUCUACCUUCUCGUCGAUGACUAGCUCGAUGCUGCAGUUGUGUGUCUAGUUCUUUGAUCUGAGGCACAUCGAUGGUCCACCUUGAGUGUGUUAUAGUUUGACUACACCAUAACUCAGUCUCCUAGCCAUUCGGAACCCUGAGGUGUAUGUUGGCUAUAGCAUAUUCAUUGUAGGAACCAAAUUGCACCAAGAUGGGAUCUAUCAACCUCGUUAGAUAAGAGGAGUAGUCCUAUGAUGAUCGAAAG
rnacentral:lncRNA from 1 species